CAUCUAGUUUUCCCCAACAUGACUCUGCUGCUGAAGACAUAUGGCAAACUUCCGGUGUCCACAGCAACUGUGGGAACGUUCCUUCUCAAAACUGAAGCUUGUGAAAACCAAACUUCGCAGCCUUUGCAAAGAGGAGAGAUUGUCUGACCUUCUUCUGUUGGCCAUUGAGAAGGACAUUCCAAUAAAUGACAAUAAUGUCAUUAACAGUUUUAGGGACAUGGCCAACAGGAAAUUUCUGUUAUAAAAGUCUACAACAACUCAUCCUCCACUUAUUGCUCUUGGUGUGCAGCAGCCUCUGUGAGCAUCUCCCUCUUAUUUUCUUGGAGCAGUCAGCCUUGGCAGUCUCUCAGAUCAACUCCAGUAUUAGCAGCAGCAACAACAACAGCAAAGGCAGCAUACUCACUCAAGGAAUUUAGUAAGAUUUUACCAGAACAGGUAUCACAUUAAUGUAAAAAAUCUGUUGUAUUUGCUGUAAAAUAAAAUUGC